GAAAAAGGACAUUUCCAAAGAUCUGAGCUGUGAUGUUUCUUUUUGUGACGUCAGUGUGACCUGCAGAGUUCAGCUGCUUCAGCUCCACAUGUAAAAGGACAAGAACAUCCUCAACCAGUCGCCUGCUUGACGUCCAGCAGUUAAACAAAACCUCCCAAAACCCAACUGCUCUGCCAGUCGCCACGAUUCAACAGCAGCAACAGUCACCGUCCAUCUGCCAACUUUGCCCAGAGCAAGUGUCCCACACCUGGCGACCAAAUGCAAAACGCCAUCCAGGCUAUGCCCCCUUGACCCACAGACCUUAUAGUAACAACAGCAACCCAGAACUUUCCUGUCUGUUGUCCCGUUCAGAGACAAAUCCACAUGGAGACUUCUCCAGGCUCGAGUGCAGACGUCCUGCAGCGUUGCCUCCAUCGACCCUGUCCAAUCACCAUGCAGCUUACGUGAAGCUGUAAAAGAUUCAGUACCAAGUUUAUUAAACCAAACUUCUCUUUGUACGUAAAGUGAAGGUUUGUGAACCGUUUUUAAAAGUCUUCUGAAAUAAGGUAAGAAUAUCGUUUGAUGUUUUGAGCAAACAUGAUAUUUCAUAAUAUAUAACCUCACUAAUCAUCAGAGGGGCUAGUGUUUAGGUGUUUGCCUGUUUCUAGCUUUUACUAAGCUAAGCUAAACUAUGCUAAGCUUAGCUAAGCUUAGCUAGGUUAACUAUGUCCGUCAGUCGAGCACUGGGGGGGGGACUAUUUCUCAUCUGGAUUAUGGAGAAAACACACAGAUCAUCAUUGUUUCACCUUCGAGGUCGAGUUUCUGUCGUGAUGGAGAAUUUUAACGACUGGUGUAAUGUGUCCAAGACUAAAGACACGAUAAUCCACUUCAGGAAGUAGCCUCCACCGAUUCCCUCCAUUUUUAUUCAUUGCCAAGCUGUUGGAGUUGUCAGUCAAAUAUCUGGGAACAACAAUCGACAACAAACUCACAUUUGAAGCCGACACUGAUGCUGUUAGGUCCACCAGUGAUAAACGGCUAUCACCAGGGGAGAAGGUUUAAUGUGGAUUCUGCUCACAGAUCCAUAGAAUCCAACCAAGAUGAAAGACUUUGAGACGUAAGAACUCCUUCGUCCCUGCGACCAUCGGCCUCAUUAAAGCGUCAAGUGAUCUACAGGACCUUAUGUUCAUGCGCGUUGUGUGUAUAGAAUUAUAACUUUCCUUUAUUCUCUGCUGGCUGUAACACAAACAGACUCUUGGGGAUAAUAAAGUUUAUCUUGAGCUGC